GGGGACGCUGCUUAUCCACCUUCAGGACGGGGACCCCCAGGUGGCCCAGGCGUGCAGGGUGGCAUUGCUGCACUGCACACCCUUCCUGAGCUACCAGCCCCUGCGCACGCUCGUGCGGAGCCAGCUUGCCGAGGGAGCAGCCCCCGCCAUCCCCACCUUCCUGAGUGAAGCCUGCAGGAUCCUGCUCCAGGACUGCCCAGGGAGGCUGAGCAAGAAGGCUGCCCUGAGAGCAGCAGCUGCCCAGCAGCUGAUAGGUUACAUGAUGGAGAAUUGAAGCCAGAGAAGAGCAGGAGGCUUGGAC
rnacentral:lncRNA from 1 species